rnacentral:rRNA from 1 species
AUGGCGAUGCCGUAUGCCUCUCUUUCCCCGGCAGGCGACCGCCGCUCCUCCCCGGCCGCCACCGCCUCCCUCCUCCCCUUCUGCCGCUCCUCCCCCUUCUCCGCCGGCGGCGGCAAUGGCGGCAUGGGGGAGGAGGCGCGGAUGGACGGGAGGUGGAUGGCGAGGCCGGUGCCCUUCACGGCGGCGCAGUACGAGGAGCUGGAGCACCAGGCGCUGAUAUACAAGUACCUGGUGGCCGGCGUGCCCGUCCCGCCGGAUCUCGUGCUCCCCAUCCGCCGCGGCAUCGAAUCCCUCGCCGCCCGCUUCUACCACAACCCCCUCGCCAUCGGGUACGGAUCGUACCUAGGCAAGAAGGUGGAUCCGGAGCCGGGCCGGUGCCGGCGCACGGACGGCAAGAAGUGGCGGUGCGCCAAGGAGGCCGCCUCCGAUUCCAAGUAUUGCGAGCGCCACAUGCACCGCGGCCGCAACCGUUCAAGAAAGCCUGUGGAAACGCAGCUCGUCCCGCACACCCAGCCGCCGGCCGCCUCCGCCGUGCCGCCCCUCGCCACCGGCUUCCACAGCCACUCCCUCUACCCCGCCAUCGGCGGCAGCACCAACGGUGGUGGAGGCGGGGGGAACAACGGCAUGUCCAUGCCCAGCACGUUCUCCUCCGCGCUGGGGCCGCCUCAGCAGCACAUGGGCAGCAAUGCCGCCUCUCCCUACGCGGCUCUCGGUGGCGCCGGAACAUGCAAAGAUUUCAGGUAUACCGCAUAUGGAAUAAGAUCUUUGGCAGACGAGCACAGUCAGCUCAUGACAGAAGCCAUGAAUACCUCCGUGGAGAACCCAUGGCGCCUGCCGCCGUCGUCUCAAACGACCUCAUUCCCGCUUUCAAGCUACGCUCCUCAGCUUGGAGCAACGAGUGACCUGGGUCAGAACAACAACCACAACAACAGCAGCAGCAACAGUGCCGUCAAGUCCGAGCGGCAGCAGCCGCUCUCCUUCCCGGGGUGCGGCGACUUUGGCGGCGGCGGCAUGGACUCCGCGAAGCAGGAGAACCAGACGCUGCGGCCGUUCUUCGACGAGUGGCCGAAGACGAGGGACUCGUGGUCGGACCUGACGGACGACAACUCCAGCCUCGCCUCCUUCUCGGCCACCCAGCUGUCGAUCUCGAUACCCAUGACGUCCUCCGACUUCUCCGCCGCCAGCUCCCAGUCGCCCAACGGUAUGCUGUUCGCCGGCGAGAUGUACUAG